rnacentral:rRNA from 1 species
GCCCUUCCUACGGGAGGCAGCAGUGGGGAAUAUUGCACAAUGGGGGAAACCCUGAUGCAGCGACGCAGCGUGCGGGAUGACGGCCUUCGGGUUGUAAACCGCUUUCAGCUGGGAAGAAGCCGUAAGGUGACGGUACCUGCAGAAGAAGUACCGGCUAACUACGUGCCAGCAGCCGCGGUAAUACGUAGGGUACGAGCGUUGUCCGGGAUUAUUGGGCGUAAAGAGCUCGUAGGUGGUUGGUCACGUCUGCUGUGGAAACGCAACGCUUAACGUUGCGCGGGCAGUGGGUACGGGCUGACUAGAGUGCAGUAGGGGAGUCUGGAAUUCCUGGUGUAGCGGUGAAAUGCGCAGAUAUCAGGAGGAACACCGGUGGCGAAGGCGGGACUCUGGGCUGUGACUGACACUGAGGAGCGAAAGCAUGGGGAGCGAACAGGAUUAGAUACCCUGGUAGUCCAUGCCGUAAACGUUGGGCACUAGGUGUGGGGGACAUUCCACGUUUUCCGCGCCGUAGCUAACGCAUUAAGUGCCCCGCCUGGGGAGUACGGUCGCAAGGCUAAAACUCAAAGGAAUUGACGGAAGGGC